CGUCUAUAAAAGUAUACAUAUUAGGAUGAGAUUAAAUUUCGAUCUCUAAUUGUGCAUUUUAUUGUGAAGGUAUAAAAUCUGUUCCUAAGAAAAUUAUUAACUGAUCCCUAUUAAUAAUUUAGAGUCUUAAGAUAAGUACCGCCAAAUUAGUCUAAUAAAAUUUUUAAUAAAAAUUUUAAUUAAUAAAACUCAAUGCGCCAAAAAGUAAAAACUCUCUGUAUUUUCCAAAAAAUAUCACCUCUAAUUGUUGCUCCAACAUUAUCGAUCAGUUUUCCAUCGGCUUUUCCCAUUUAAAGCUCAAAUCGUUUUUGUCCUAAAUCUCUUUGUUUUCCAUCGCAGCUUCCAUAGCCAGGGACGGGAUCUAGGAUUUGAAGGUUGUGGGCGCUCACUUCGCUUAAGUUUCAUACCAAAGUCAAAACACCCAACCACCACUUUUGUCUAUGGGUGUUUAACAUUACAUCACAACUGAUUUUACUGUAUAUUCUAUAUAAAAAUAUAAAACUUUUAUCUGGUCAGUGGGUGCUCGAGCACCCAGCAAAGGCUAUGUUCAUCCGCCCCAGUACAUAGCAACUGAGAGAAUUCACAAACUCAUAAGGAUACUAUUUGACACUUGUCUGAUGCAGAAUGAAACCGACAAUUUAUUAAAUGGUCAAAAGAUAGGGUUCAACAUGAAACGAUUGAAGAUUGAAAAUGAGGUUGUGUCAACUGGGAAGAGUACUACAAUGUAUACAUUUGUCGCACUUGGUGCUAUAAGAAAAGGAAGAGGAUGAGGGCUUAGAUCUUUAGUUGAGAAAGAUAAUAUGUAAACUAAGAGUUUAUUUCCUCAAUCUAGUAAUGUUGUUAAGCAAUACCUCCAAGAUUUUGAAACAAGUAAGAUAUUUCAUAUACCAAUUGAAAUCAGGUUGUUAUUGAUA